rnacentral:rRNA from 1 species
CCUGGCCUUGACAUACUAACGAACUUUCCAGAGAUGGAUUGGUGCCUUCGGGAACUUAGAUACAGGUGCUGCAUGGCUGUCGUCAGCUCGUGUCGUGAGAUGUUGGGUUAAGUCCCGCAACGAGCGCAACCCUUUUCCUUAUUGCCAGCGGGUUAAGCCGGGAACUUUAAGGAUACUGCCAGUGACAAACUGGAGGAAGGCGGGGACGACGUCAAGUCAUCAUGGCCCUUACGGCCAGGGCUACACACGUGCUACAAUGGUCGGUACAAAGGGUUGCUACCUCGCGAGAGGAUGCUAAUCUCAAAAAGCCGAUCGUAGUCCGGAUCGCAGUCUGCAACUCGACUGCGUGAAGUCGGAAUCGCUAGUAAUCGCGGAUCAGAAUGCCGCGGUGAAUACGUUCCCGGGCCUUGUACACACCGCCCGUCACACCAUGGGAGUUUGUUGCACCAGAAGUAGGUAGUCUAACCGCAAGGAGGACGCUUACCACGGUGUGGCCGAUGACUGGGGUGAAGUCGUAACAAGGUAAGCGUAGAUGA